rnacentral:sRNA from 1 species
CUGUAAAUCUGCCGUCAUCGACUUCGAAGGUUCGACUCGAGCGCCAGCGAGAAAGCGUUGCCGCAGGCAACGACCCGAAGGGCGAAGCGCGCAGCGCUGAGUAAUCCUUCCCCCACCACCA